GAUGAACGCUGGCGGCGUGCCUAAUACAUGCAAGUCGAGCGAACAGACGAGGAGCUUGCUCCUCUGACGUUAGCGGCGGACGGGUGAGUAACACGUGGAUAACCUACCUAUAAGACUGGGAUAACUUCGGGAAACCGGAGCUAAUACCGGAUAAUAUAUUGAACCGCAUGGUUCAAUAGUGAAAGACGGUUUUGCUGUCACUUAUAGAUGGAUCCGCGCCGCAUUAGCUAGUUGAUAAGGUAACGGCUUACCAAGGCGACGAUGCGUAGCCGACCUGAGAGGGUGAUCGGCCACACUGGAACUGAGACACGGUCCAGACUCCUACGGGAGGCAGCAGUAGGGAAUCUUCCGCAAUGGGCGAAAGCCUGACGGAGCAACGCCGCGUGAGUGAUGAAGGUCUUCGGAUCGUAAAACUCUGUUAUUAGGGAAGAACAAAUGUGUAAGUAACUAUGCACGUCUUGACGGUACCUAAUCAGAAAGCCGCGGCUAACUACGUG
rnacentral:rRNA from 1 species